rnacentral:rRNA from 1 species
GACAGAGGGUGCAAACGUUUGUUCGGAAUUACUGGGCGUAAAGCGAGUGUAGGCGGUCUUGUAAGUCGGAUGUGAAAGCCCCGGGCUCAACCCGGGAAGUGCACUCGAUACUGCGAGGCUAGAGUGUCGGAGAGGUUGGUGGAAUUCUCGGUGUAGAGGUGAAAUUCGUAGAUAUCGAGAGGAACACCAGUGGCGAAGGCGAGUCUCUGGACGACUCCUGACAGCUGAGGCACGAAAGCUAGGGGAGCGAAACAGG